UCAGAUGGUGAAGGCUGGUAAAUGAAGCAUGAAUAGAGGCAUUGGUCUUUAUCAAAUAUUUCCAUCCUCCAAUGUGGAACAGCCUGAUGUGACAAAAGAAUUAAGCUAAGAGCUCUUAACAAUGGAUAAUCUUGGACGAUGCCAGUGGUGAUGAAAGACUAUGGGUUUCAUCAAAAUUAAUAAAGAUCUGAUCAGGAUUAAGAAAAGCUUACACAUAAAAGGCAUGACUCAAGGAAGGAAGAAACACAGAAAGACAACAAUGCAGAAAGCUGAUUCUCCUCUGUAUGAAAAGAGCUCAAAAAAUCAGCUGGAGAAGGACAUAUCUUCACAAGACUGGCAGACUGAAAGCCAUGAUGCUGAAGUAGAAAUUU
rnacentral:lncRNA from 1 species